AAAGUAUGGGGAAAGAAUAAAGGGUAGUGAAGUGUGGAAGCUGGGCUGGCUGAUACCUGCCCUAGUGGACAUUGACUGUGUGUACUAUAAAAACAGCGCUUCCCUUCCCACUUGUGAGCACAGCAUCCGCACCUUCUUGAGGAACUACAUCUUUCUCAGCCUCAGGUCUUGUUUUGGAUGGCAGGCUCCAGCAGUGAGGGUGUGGCCCAGGCCUUGGUAAGAAGCAUACUAAGCAUACUUGGUGUCACAAGACAGGGUCAUGGGUUCAAAAUUGAGCACCAGACUCAAAGGAGUCCCAUGAUGCUCAACUGUGUUGCUGCUGUUGUGUUUUACUCUGAAACCACUGGGCAAAGGAGACUCCUUUCCUGGUAGGAGUGGCUGAACUGGGGGGAUAUGGCGUGGAGCUGAGGAUGGCUAUCUCAUCACUGCAGGGCAGACAUUGAGUGAGAUGGUGAAAAGAACACAGAGAAAGGCAGAGCUGAGACAUGAGGAGGGGUUGGGGAGGAAAGAAUGAGCCCGAUUACAUUAUUACACAGAGCUAGAGGGCUUGGAUCUAGCCAUGCCUGAAAUCCACAUGGUUUCCUUAUUUGCUUCAGUCGGUUUGAGUUGGGUUUCUGUUUUUUUAUGACCAAGAGGCCCAGCAAAUAUAUCUACUCAGAUGUUAGGGGGUUAAUAUUUGGCUGAAUAUUUUUAAUUCUGUCUUUCUAGCUAGUCCCCAGCUUUGGGGACUGUAAGUUCCCUAAAGGCAGGAACCAGGCUAGCUGUGGUCAGCAGGAUUUGUGGUGUAUGUUGAUGGGAGACUGAGCAGAAUGUUGACUGUGGUGAGGCAAAGACAAAAUGAUUGGAGCAUUGGGGAGGGGAGGAGAGUGCAUGGAGACAAGGCACGUUGAAGGCUCCCUCGUUCUCGCAUGACUCUGUGCGAUCUCUGGGCUGGAGGCUGAGGCUGCAGCAAAGGGCGGUCCACACACUGUGUCUGUCCUCACACUGUGUCUGCCCUCACACUGUGUCUGCCCUCACAGAGUUCACCAUGAAGCAGGGCAAACAGGCACCAAACAAGACAUCAUAGUAAUGACGUUUCAUAGACACAGAUAGGGGUCGUUUAUGUGUGUGCAUGUGUGUAUGUAUUUACGUUCUCUGUUUCUUUGUCUCUGUCUCUUUCUGUCUCUGCCCAUCUCUCUUUCUAAAUAUAUAUGCAAGUCAUAUAUAUAUCUCCCUAAGGUCCUCAUAAAUAAGCUCCUUAAUGUAAAAUUGUUGUGGGAAGCAUGCGGUCACUCUGGGUAGCCCAGGGAGUGCCUGUCCCCAGGAGAAAUAGAAGAUUGUGUCAGGGCACCUGGCAGUGUUCAGAGCAGCCUGGCCAUGACACCCCAGCCAGCAGAGUGCUUUUGUGGAAGGAUGUGUGCCUGGUGCCUUCGGAGUCAUUUGCUUAUGACCUGCAAUGGCCAAGAUGGCUGCUGUGGUGAGUGCUGAGGUACUUUUCUAAAUUCUGCAAAAGGGAGAAGGCAGAGCCUCAUAGCCACCUGUCUUUACAAGUUUCCAGAGUCUUUUCCCUAGACUUGCUCUCUGCCUCUAAGGGAGCUGAGACUGGGAGAAGACAAAUGUAUAAACAGUAUCGGCCAUUGGGAAAUGGCUUUUUCUCGUGUUGCCAUGAGGCCUGGGUAGGAGGUGCUCUGUGGGUGAAGACAAGGGAGAGUGUCUCAUACCUCUUUGGUGAAUGGUCAUCCAGAGUAAGGGUGUGUUCCCAUGAGCUGAGGGCACAUACCCAGUUGCUGUUUUGAUGGACAGCCCUGCCAGAUGGAGGCUUCAGCCUGCCUCUCUGUACCUGCUCUAUCUGUGCCACACAAGAAACCAGGCCCCAGUGGUUGGAGCCCUGGAGAGACAGGAAAGGAUGAGGGUAUAGAGAUGUGCAGAGCAGGGGCUUUGGAAUCAGACUGGCCUGGAUCCUGGCCCUGCCCCUUUCUAUGCCAGUGACACUUGGGAAGUAACUUACCCCUCUGCAUGCCAGUUUCCACAUCUGUAAAAUGGGGAUUCUUGCAGGGUUGCACGCCCAGGAUGGUGCUAAUGAUGAUGAUUCCUGGGCAGAGAGGUUUGAGUGAUGGGAAUUUUCUUUGUCCUUUUCUGUACUUUCCAAUUUUUGUCUGAUGUAAAUGUAAAUAUUUUUAAUUCAGAGAAAAACAAUGUGUGCUAUUAGAAAAUAAAAACAUUUUUUGAAAGAUUGGAGAGCACUUGGUAAGAGGAAAGAUAAGAAGAGAGAGAGUGGAAUUUGGAGGCAACCAGCAGUCAUUUUGUUGCAUGGCUACCAUGGACUGAUCAGAAGCAUGAGUCUCUUCUGGGGGCAACUUGGGAGCCCAGAGGUCUGCAGUGGGCCAGGGAAGCCUGGACUGUGAUGCAAGACUCCUUGCCACACCCUGAGAAGGGGCUGACGCUGCACUUUCCAUCAGGAUUGGAACAGCACAGUGGAAGGACAACAGGAGUGUGAAGGGGUUGGACAAGGAGGGAGAGAGAACCAGUCCCCGUGGAAUUGAUGAGGGCAGAGGAGAGGCCCAGAGGACAGACACCCACACCAAAAGAAGGUCACAAGGUUUGUAAAAAGAAAAAUAGAAAGAAGGCUGGGUAUGGUAACUCACGCCUGUAAUCCCAGCACUUUGGGACGCCAAGGCGGGCAGAUCACUUGAGGCCAGGAGUUUGAGACCAGCCUGGCCAACAUGGCAAAACCCUGUCUCUAAAAGAAAAACCCUGUCUCUAAAAGAAAUACAAAAAUUAGCUGGGCGUGAUGGUGCACACCUGUAGUCCCAGCCACUCAAGAGGCUGAGGCACGAGAAUCGCUUGAACCCGGGAGACAGAGGAUGCAAAGAGCUGAGAUGGCACCACUGUACUCCAGCCUGGGCAACAGAGCGAGACUCCAUCUCAAAAAAAAAAAAAAAAAAAAAAAAGAAAAAGCAAAAGAAAAAUAGAAAGAAAUGAUAAUACCCUCAAAACCACAAGUAUCUCUAAUCAGUCCCAUUUCCUGUUGUCAGCCUGCCCCUCUGAUGGGCUUCUUGGUCUGUGCAGGGGCAGCCCUGAUACAGGAACAUCUCUGAUUCUGAUAUUGCCAUAAACCAAUGCCUGGCGCAUAGACAGUGUGCAACAAAUCUUGUUCAACUGGUUUAACCCAAAUAUAACUUGGGGUCCUAUGUGGCCCAGUAUUACCUCCAUGUAGUAUUUAGAGAAAAUAGAGUCCAAAGUAAAAGAUAUAAUUUUAUUGUUUUUGAAACAGGGUCUCACUCUGUCACCCAGGCUGGAGUUCAGUGGCAUGAUCACCACUCAUGGCAGCCUCAACUCCUGGGCUCAAGGGAUCUUCCUACCUCAGCCUUCUGAGUACCUGGGUCUAUGUGCACGCCGCUAUGCUCGGGUAACUUUUAAUUUUUUUGUAGAGAUGGGGUUUCCUUAUGUUGCCCAGGUUGGCCUUGAACUCCUGGCCUCAAGUGGUCUUCCCACCUUGGCCUCCUAAAGUGGUAGGAUUACAGGUGUGAGCUGCCACUGCACCAGGCUCAUUUUAAAAAGAUUCUAAUCUUUACUCCUGACUUUGAAAGCACUUUAUGUAGAUCCAUUUGUGAUUCAGAGAGACACUUCCCCAAAUCCCUCUCUUCUUUCCUUUUCCUGCAUUCUGUGGUUGCCCCUAAAUCUGUUCCUCAUCUCCAGCCUGCGUGGUGCUUCUACUGCCUCCUUCCUCCUUCCCACAUGUCACACUUUAUUGUCUCUCUGCCAGAGGUCCCUGGAACGUCUGCUCUGGCCAAAAAAAUACAGUAGAAGAGUGGAGAGCAUGAAUGCUGUUUGCCUCCAAGCCUUUCCUCACUCUAUACAGAGAAAUUCAAGCAGAGACGGCUGAUGAAGUGAACAAAGGGGGACUUGGCUAACAGAGGAUCCGGG
rnacentral:lncRNA from 1 species